AAUUUUCAUGACAAUAUCAUGAAAAAGAGUCACAUAUCAAAUAAAUGCACAGUUCUCAAAAAAAUUUGAUUACAAAUAUGAUGUCUAUUGGUUUUGUAUACAUGAUUUCUAAGCAUAUAACAUUAGUAAGCUUUAAUUUCUUCUAUCAAGUAUUAGAAUAUUGUAAGAUCAAUAUUAGAAUGAAUUGUUAUAUUGAAAUGACAGUAUUGUAGUUAAAUCUCUUAUUGCUGGCUUACCAAUUCUUUGAUGGGUCCGCACAGAAAAAAAUUUAAGCAAGUUAAAUCAGGACAUUGAAUGAUGCUACUGUUUGUGCCCAUCCAAUUAUUUCCAGAUAUUUGGGUUAAAUGUUGUACUAUUUGAGCAUUUUAAGCAGGAGCUCCAUCUUGCUGCCAAAAUAUACUUUUUCGUUUUGUUAAAGGUUUAUCCUCUAACAAAAUAAUUUAAAUGUUGAUGUCAGUUUCUUAAUUUAUCAUCUUUAUUUUAUAAAUAAUGCAUUUAUUAGUAGCUUACAUACCUCAAUGUCGUGCAAUCAAUAUUCUAGAUACAUUACAAAAAAGUUGUGAUUAUGAUUUUACUACAAUGUAUAAUGAACAAUUAUAGUAUACAAACCAUAACUCUAGAGCUCCUAUUCCCUAGAGCAUGGAUUUAAUUUUGAUAUCUGUUGUUUAAAUUGUCACUAUAUUUUAAUAAGUAUGCACUUAUUAAUGGACAUAGAAACUUCAAUGUUAUAAGAUCAAUAUUCUAAUCAUACAUUAAAUAACAAACAUGAUCUUACUAGAACUAAAUGUGAAAAAUUGUAGUAUACAACACACAACCUAAAGUUUUAACAAAAUUAGAUUUCGAUUUUAGAUGUCUGUUGGUUUUGUGUACUUUCAUUGCAUACAUUUGUUAAUAAACUUUAAUUAUUUUAGUCACUUAAUAUAAAUAUUUUAAUGAAUUAUUAUUCAUAUUAGAAUUAGCAAUAUUGUUGUUGUAGUUAAAUUUCUUGCAUGUUAUUUAUUUUCAUGGUUUUAUUUAUAUUUUUACAAUUUUAACUAAAAAAAAAGUUAAAAAUCAAACCAUUAUUAUUAACUUAAGUUGAACUAGGGUAAUAUAUAGAUAAUUGUAAGAAUACAUUACAAUUGUAAUACAUGUAGUUUUUAUUAUACUUUUCCAAUGGAAUACUGUUAAAGUUAAAAGAAUGAAAUUUUCAUUCUAAAAUUAAAAGUGACAGUAAUUUUUCUAAAUUAAAUAUACAACAAUUAAAAAUAAUAAUAAUAAUACAUUUUAGCUAUCCAUUAUGAAAUAGUUUCCUUGUUUUUUUUGGCAAUAAAUAAAAAUAAAUUAGAAAUAAAUCCAUUUUAUUUUAAGUAAUAAAUUUUUUUUUGCCUUUUUAAUUGAGAAUUGUUGAAAUAUCAGUUAGUGAUUCAAUCUAUUUACUGAAUACUCUAUGGCAUAAAUUCUGUCAUGAACUCAAGUAUUAAAAAUAAUUUACUUACUGGUCUUUCACAAUUAUAGAUAGAAAUAAUUAUAGGUUUAUUAAAAUAAAAAAAUUGUUGACAAAAUUAUGAAGAAUGAAUCUUAAGAUUUAGCUUGUUUUAAAUAUUUUAAGACUUAGUUCGUUCAAUCUAUAUGCAUUAUUACAAAAUAAGGAAAUAACAUUAUUGAAAAAUAACAAUGAAAUUUUAAAAGAUACUUUUUUUUUUUGAAGUACACAGUACUUUUUUUUUAAGUUGUUGGUAAUUCAUUUUUAUUCAUAUAAUUUUUAGUUGAACAUAUUUCAAAUUUUUUUCUAUGAUCUUUUUUUUUAUUUAUAGUGUGUUUCAAAAAUUUAAGAGAUUCCAAUUCUAGUUUAAAUGGUACUGAUACUUGCAUGUUUGAAUACAUUUCUACAAUUUUAAUGUGCAAUAUUAUAAAAGUAAUAAAAUGUUGAAAGUAUUAAUAAUUUCAUGACUAGCUAGUUUUACACAUUCCAUUGAUGAUGGUUUAAACUAUCAUUUCGGGCAACCAGUUUCCAUAGCCUUUUUUUUUUCUUUGAAUGUAAAUUUUUGACAUGGAUAUGGAUUUAAUGGUUAUAGCAAUAUUCUGUAUAUCCAUAUGCAUUUUUACAAAUUUAUGGAAUGAAAUCAUGGAUAAACUACUAUAAAAAUCUGAAAUAUCCUUUUUUUAAAAGAACACAGUACUUCAUUUUCAUUAAGAUAAAUAGUAAUUUAUUCUUAUUAACAAAAAAAAAAAAAUUUUAAGAUCCCCAUUAGACUGAUUUUACAGUUAUCUUUUAAACAUUUUAUUUCUUUAAAACUUCAUCAAGUUUUUCAAAUAA